rnacentral:rRNA from 1 species
GUGGGGCGUGGUACGGUUUUUUCGGUGUGGGAUGAGCCAGGGGCCUUUCAAGCUUUUUCGUGGGGUAUUGGCUUACCAAGGCGUCGCCGGGUAGCCGACCCGUGAGGGUCGUCGGCCACAUUUGGACCGCAAUACGGCCCAGACUCUUACCGGAGGCAUGCAGUGAGGAAUCUGUCACAAAUGGCGGAAGCCGGAUGCAGCCGACGCCGCGUGGGGGAUGACGGCUUUCGGGUGCUAAACCUCUUUCGACAUGGAUGAAGCCUUGUAGGUGACGCUACACGUAUAAGAAGCACCGGCUAAAUACGUGCCAGCAGCCGCGGUAAUACGUAGGGUGCGAGCGUUGUCUCGAAUUACUGGGCGUAAAGAGCUCGUAGGUGGUUUGUCGCGUCGUCUGUGAAAUUCCGGGGCUUAACCUCGGGCGUGCAGGCGAUACGGGCAAUACUUGAGUGCUGUAGGGGAGAAUGGAAUUUCUGGUGUAGCGGUGAAAUGCGCAGAUAUCAGGAGGAACACCGAUGGCGAAGGCAGGUUUUUGGGCAGUAACUGACGCUGAGGAGUGAAAGCAUGGGUAGCGAACAGGAUUAGAUACCCUGGUAGUCCAUGCCGUAAACGGUGGGCGCUAAGUGUAGGGGUCUUCCACGACUUCUGUGCCGUAGCUAACGCAU